GGUGGGCGGGGCCGCGCGCACUCCCGGGCUGGAGUUCGGCGAGGCCUUGGGACUGGCGCUGGAGCCCAGCGUGGGAUGACCGUGCCCCGAAAACAUGCCAGUGAAUGGAAAGAAGCCAAGGUCCCCUCCCUCCCUGCUUAUACCCUCAACUUUGCCAAUGAGGACCCUAAAUACCAGCUGCACUACAGGGGAUGUAACUACAUACACCGUCACCAAAGUUGCAGCCUGGCCAAGAAAUGCCAGGGGACGUCGCGGCGAUUGCAGACUCCGCGGUGACUGUGUAGAUACGUCCAGAAUUCGCCCUUGUAGCGCGGGGAGAGGCGAGAGUGAAGGCCUAGAAAAAAAGAAGAAUAAAUGGGACAUUACACAAGGUGCGAAGCGCAAUUUUGAAUUACAAAGGGGGAGUUGUUUUCACAGUGACCUCUGAAAGAUUCUCCCGGGGUCUGAAAGCUUGGAGGGAUAACUCCUCCCUUCUCAGGCCCAGUCCCAAGGCUCAAGGCCACUUGCGUGCAUCAGCAAGACAGCAGAAGCAGGAAGAGAGCUGCCAGGAAGACACCUACCCUGGCCGGAAGACACCUACUCUGGCAGGGAGACAUGUACCCCUGAAGAUUGAGAAAGAGGCCGUCUGGGUACUACGUAGCAGUCACGUCAGACUGGGACACUUCUUGUUUACAGAGGACUAUAAAACCCCUGCCCCAUCCUCACUUGGUGCUGACGCCAUUUUAGGCCUCAGCCUGCCUGCACCCAGGCGCUCAUUAAAACAGCAUGUUGCUCCACACCGCCUUGUGUUAUCUGUUGGUGUGCUCUCGGGGUUUGAACCAAUACAAGAACCUUUCAACCUCUUUGUUUGUUAUGGAAUAAAAAAUAACUAUCGUG
rnacentral:lncRNA from 10 species